rnacentral:rRNA from 1 species
AGAGUUUGAUCAUGGCUCAGAUUGAACGCUGGCGGCAGGCCUAACACAUGCAAGUCGAGCGGAAACGAUCCUAGCUUGCUAGGAGGCGUCGAGCGGCGGACGGGUGAGUAAUGCAUAGGAAUCUGCCCGGUAGUGGGGGAUAACUUGAGGAAACUCAAGCUAAUACCGCAUACGCCCUACGGGGGAAAGCAGGGGCUCUUCGGACCUUGCGCUAUCGGAUGAGCUUAUGUCGGAUUAGCUGGUUGGUGAGGUAACGGCUCACCAAGGCGACGAUCCGUAGCUGGUCUGAGAGGAUGAUCAGCCACAUCGGGACUGAGACACGGCCCGAACUCCUACGGGAGGCAGC